rnacentral:rRNA from 1 species
AACGAACGCUGGCGGCGUGCUUAACACAUGCAAGUCGAACGCGAAAGGGGCUUCGGUCCUGAGUAAAGUGGCGCACGGGUGAGUAACGCGUGGAUAAUCUACCUGACAUUUUGGGAUAACAUUUCGAAAGGGGUGCUAAUACCGGAUAAGACCACGAGGCCUUAGGGCCAUGGGGUAAAAGGUGGGGACCUUCGGGCCUGCCGAUGUCAGAUGAGUCCGCGUACCAUUAGCUAGUUGGUGGGGUAAAGGCCUACCAAGGCGACGAUGGUUAGCUGGUCUGAGAGGAUGAUCAGCCACACUGGAACUGAGACACGGUCCAGACUCCUACGGGAGGCAGCAGUGGGGAAUUUUGCGCAAUGGGGGAAACCCUGACGCAGCAACGCCGCGUGAGUGAUGAAGGCCUUCGGGUCGUAAAGCUCUGUCAGAGGGGAAGAAGUGCAGUGGCGCUAAAAUCGUCAUUGCUUGACGGUACCGUUCAAAGGAAGCACCGGCUAACUCCGUGCCAGCAGCCG